rnacentral:rRNA from 1 species
UACGUAGGUGGCAAGCGUUAUCCGGAAUUAUUGGGCGUAAAGCGCGCGUAGGCGGUUUUUUAAGUCUGAUGUGAAAGCCCCCGGCUCAACCGUGGAGGGUCAUUGGAAACUGGAAAGCUUGAGUGCAGAAGAGGAAAGUGGAAUUCCAUGUGUAGCGGUGAAAUGCGUAGAGAUAUGGAGGAACACCGGUGGCGAAGGCGGCUUUCUGGUCUGUAACCGACGCUGAGGUGCGAAAGCGUGGGGAGCAAACAGG